UAUUGAGAUGCAAGGGGGUCCUAUUUGCUAUUCAGAGGAUGAGGGUGAAUUUGGAGUUUCAUGUGAUCCAACAAAGGAAUUUUCUCCAGUUCCUCUAUGUUCUGUUUUCCCUGAUGAGAUUAAGGAGUGUGUGGGUGUGUCUUGUGAUGGUUUUGAGGAACAAUUUAGAGCUUUAUUGAUUACAAUUGAAGCUGGUCAACCUUCGUUGGCCAGAUCUGUCUUAAAGAAGGAGAGGGAAUUGAAAAGGUUGUCAUGCUCGCUAAACUAUGUUGGGAAGGGAGGAAGUGUAGUUAGGAAUAAGGGAAAGGAAAGGGCUGGGAUAGACUCCAGAUGAAGCCAAAGAUUAUUUCUUGGAAUGUAAGGGUUCUUAAUGACCUUCAAAAGCGUCUUCGGGUGAAAAAUUGGUUCAGAAAAUGGAGGGUCAAUGUGAUUUGCCUUCAAGAAACUAAACUGAAAUUUGUGAAUCAAGCUAUUGUUCAUAGUUUGUGGAAUUGUAGUACUGUGUGUUGGGCAGAGUUGGUGUCUAAUGGGGCUUCGGGUGGGAUUAUAAUAAUGUGGAAUAGGAGGGUGGUCGAGUUGAGGGAUCAUUUUGUGGGGGAAUUCUUGGUGGCAUGUCAUUUUAAGAAUAUUGAGGAUGGGUUUGAAUGGGUGUUUGCUGGAGUGUAUGACCCUAAUGUGGAUAGUAGUAGGAGUUUGUUAUGGCAUGAAAUGUCGGGUGUAUGUGGUUGGUGGAAUUUACGUUGGUGUUUUGGUGGGGAUUUUAAUCUCACUCGUUUCGCUAGUGAGAGAUUGGGGGAAUCAUAUUUUUCACAUGCAAUGUCAACUUUUUCAGAUUUAAUUUUUUAUUUAAAUCUGAUUGAUUUACCUUUGGUGGGAGGAGAUUAUGCUUGGUCUAAUGGUAGGUCAUUUUCAAGGCUGGAUAGGUUUCUGGUUUCGCCUUCUUGAGAGGCUCAUUUUUCUGGUUUGAGUCAGAAAUUAUUGCCGAGAUUGUGUUCUGAUCAUUAUCCUAUCAUGUUGGAUUUUGGUGGAAUUCCUAUAAUUUUUCUGGCAUUCCUAGUUUUGUCUUGGCUGGAAAAUUGAAAUCUCUUAAGAAAGAUAUAAAGAGAUGGAAUAAAGAGGAGUUUGGGAAUUUGGAUAGCAAGAGGAAGCUUCUUUUGGAAGAGUUGGGAGGCUUGGAUGAGAAGGAGGUGCAAGGGGUGAUAUCGGGGGAGGACGGUAUAAGAAAAGUAGGGGUAGUUUCCGAACUGGAAAAUAUUGCGUUAAUGGAGGAAAUUUUGUGGAGGCAAAAAUCUAGGGCUGUGGUUGAAGGAAGCAGAUAGGUGCACUAAAUUCUUUCAUCAAAUGGCAAACUCUCAUAAAAGAAAUAAUGUGAUUGAGGUUCUUCGAGAUGGGGACAGGCUUAUCAUGGAUGAAGAAGACAUUAAGGCUCACAUAGUGAAUUUUUAUGAGCAGCUGUUUUCAGAAGAUUUUUCUUUGGAGACCAAAACUGGACAGACUUGGUUUCGACUCUAUAGAUCAGGUCGAAGCUGAUUGGUUGGAGAGAGAGUGUGAAGAAGAAGAAGUACUUAAUGUGGUUAAAGGUAUGGAUAGGGAUAUGGCUCCGGGUCUGGAUGGGUUCUCUCUGGUGUUUUUUCAAGCAUGCUCGGGCAUAGUUAGAGAAGAUAUUCUGAAGGUGUUUGCUGAGUUUCAUUCGUAUAUGAGGUUUGAGAAGAGUUUUAAUACGACUUUCAUUGCACUUAUUCCGAAAGAGGUAGUGGCUGUUGAGAUGAGAGAUUUUCGGCCUAUUAAUUUGGUGAAUGGAGUGUAUAAAAUCAUUUUUAAGGUGCUAGCCAACCGUUUGAGCAGGGUGAUGGAGAGGAUAAUUUUAAAAUCACAAAACGCCUUUGAGGGGAAGACAGAUUUUAGACUCUGUUUUAAUUGCAAAUGAAUGCUUGGAGAGUAGAAUUAAAAUGGAGAAAGCUGGUGUUUUAAUCAAAUUGGGCAUGGAAAAGGCUUAUGACCAUGUGUGCUGGGAUUUCCUUGAUUAUUUGCUGAGGAGAUAUGGUUUUGGUGAUAAAUGGUGUUCGUGGAUGAAACAUUGUGUGUCGACUUCGAAAUUUUCUAUUUUGGUGAAUGGAGAACCGGUUGGUUUCUUUAGUAGCUCACGUGGUUUGAGGCAAGGUGAUCCCAUCUCUGCCUUUCUUUUUGUUAUGAUUAUGGAUGCCUUGAGUAGAAUGAUUGAGAAGGCCGUGGAUGGUAAUUUUCUGUUCAGCUUUAUGGUGGGAAAUGAGGUACGGAGUAGUUUAAAGGUCUCACACUUAUUAUUUGCUAAUGAUACUUUGAUUUUUAGUGAGCCCGAUUCUAACAAUCUGCGUGUUUUAAGAGCACUUUUGCUGUGUUUUGAACUGUUUCGGGGUUAAGAGUUAAUUUAUCGAAAUCUGAAGUCAUUCCUGUGGGUUCUGUUCAGAAUAUUUCAGACUUGGCAAAUAUUCUGGGGUGCAGAAUUUCUUCACUCCCUAUGAGGUACCUUGGGCUUCCUUUGGGGGCUUCUUUUAAAUCUGUUAAUAUUUGGGAUGGAGUGAUUGAGAAAAUGGAAAGGAGGUUAGCUGGUUGGAAAAUGAUCUACUUGUCUAAGGGUGAAGAUUAACUCUAAUAAAAAGUACUUUGUCUAACCUUCCCACUUAUUUCUUAUCUAUUUUUCCAUUGCCAGCAAGGGUUGAAAGAAGAAUUGAGAGUUUAUUGCGGAAUUUUUUAUGGGGUGGUAAAGGAGUUGAAAAAAAGUUCUAUUUGGUUAGUUGGGAGAAGGUUUAUCAACCGAUUGAUUGUGGUGGGUUGGGGAUAAAAAAUUUAAGAGUGAUAGAGCAUUACUUGGGAAAUGGCUUUGGAGAUAUCACUUGGAAAGUAAUGCCUUUUGGAAAAAUGUUAUUGAUGUAAAAUAUGGUAGUUUGUGGGGAGGUUGGUGUUCUAAAGAUACUAGCGGUGCGUAUGGGGUGAGUUUGUGGAAGUUCAUUA